rnacentral:lncRNA from 1 species
UAAAAUGAAGAAUCCGAGGAAGAUUACAAGGUAUUUGACAAAAGAAAUCUCCUAAGUCUGAAAUUUUUUUAUGUUACUUGUAAAGGAGGUCUUUAAUCCCAAAGGAAAGAAAGCAAGCAAACGAUCCUUCACUCCUCCCAAACUGAUCAAAGUUUCUGCUAAGAGAAAGAGAAGUGAAUCAAUAUUACCAAGGUGCGAGGGGAAUGUAGUUAUUGGGCUGAUUUAAGUCGUGAAGUCACUUGUUUCCAUAAUUACUAACUAGUUACUACAUAAUUUCAAUAGAUGUUCAUCAAUAUUAAGUAUGUCACCUCCCUAAGAACUUACUAUCAUGGUACGCUCACUUUCGGUUUGUUUCGCUAUUUACUAAUUAAUUACUUCCUAGUUAGAUUGAUAUAAACAUCAUAUAUGAAUAUCAGUAUUAGGCUCUGUCAAAUCAUUCACCCGUCUGCGCCCUCAUCACCAAUCCCCAAUUACCUCGCCCACACCACUCAACAACAGUCGCCCUACUAAUAAACUUCAAGUGAGCUCGCCCAACCCACUCAAACGUCUUCGCCCUCUUCACCAAGCUCUAACGAGCUCGCCCAAAACAUUUAAAUGUCCUCGCCCCCGUCCCCAAUAUCCAAUGAACUGGACCGCAUCACUACAUCACCAAUGCCUCCAGUACCGCCCCCACUGUAACACCCCGUUUUCCCAACUUAAAAAUUUCAUAAACAUUUAUCAGAGUAAACAACACAUAACGGAAUGCUACACUUCUAAAAUAUAAUAAAUGAGAUAAUUAACUAAUUAUCUUUCCAAAAAUUCAUCAACAUAUUAAUUCAAACUUUGCAGCGGAUUAAAUUCUUGGCACGCAGGCCUUAUUAAAGCAUAAGCAAUACGUAAAGGAAUAGAAAAGCAAUAACAAAAGAUCUCAUCUCGUUACGUAUCAGAACAUCCUAAGACUCAGUGAGGAAUAAGUCACUCACGACAACAACAGCAGCAACCUACUAACGAUCACCUGCAAGUUACUCAUAGGAAGAGCAACAUUUCCAAGCAGAAGGGGUGAGAUUUCACAAAACAAUAAUAUUAAACAUAUAAUUCAACAAUUAUAUUUAACAACAUAACAACACAGUAAUCCAUCAUAUAUAAUAAUAUAGCAAUAACCUGAUCAUCAUCCUUUAGUAACAUAAACAACAACAUAUUCAACAUAAUCACAUCUUAAUCAAUAUAAUAAACAACAUAUUCAUUGUCUUUCAAUAACAACAUAUUCAACAUAAC